AAUACACCUUCAUUUUGCAUUUCAAGCUGUUUUUGGCAGUGUUACAGGGGCCCAUCUUGAGCAGUUAUGCCUGACUGCAGCUCUGCUGGAUCAAGCAGCUUCUCAUUAGCCAACUGUCGCAGGAGGUUCUGAUGUCCAUCCAGUCGCCGCCGGUGUUCACGGGGUCGUGGCGGGAAAUUCUGCGUCCUUGUUUGCAUCGGAGAACGAAUGGAAUGUUGAAACUCUUAGUAGGCAGGUGCUACUUUCUCUCCACCUCAUCUGCUGUUUCUCUCCUCUCUGUCCUCCCAUCUGCCACAUUAACACACCGGGGUUGUCACUUCCUGAUAUUUUUAAGACAGCAGCGUAAAGUGAAAUUUCUUUUUUUGGUUGCAUUUAAUGAUGACUCAUUUCUUCACCAGGACGCGGUCUAAGGCGGUCAUAUUUAAACAAAACCUUUCGUGGGUUUAAAUAACCUUUCCAGCCAUUCCCAGUUAAAAAUGACCAGUUAUUGCAACUACAUGGAUACACACUUUCAUUAACUUUCAUUUACACCCCAGACAGUGUUCCAGCAAUUGGCUGAUAAACAUGGGGGCAUUCGAUUUAGACAUGGCUACUCUGUCUAAUUUGCAGCUCCCGGUCAACAUAAUUUUGCUGUGCCCUAAUCUAACCUUUUUUUGUCUUGGACAAUUGCCAAACUUGUCGAAGAAACCUUUUGUCCCUUCCUCAGUGACCCUGAACCCUCGUUAGCAUUAUGGGCUCUGUCUUAGCUUUAGUGAUUAUAAAGUCAUUUUACGGUCACAUGACAAGAAAAUGAGAGGAUUUCUGGAUUGGGUGAGAUUUCAAUAGUCAAUGGCAUUAAAGAAAUACUGUAUUUUAUGUUGUUUCAAAUCUAUAUGAUGUAAACUUG
ensembl:lncRNA